AUUGAACGCUGGCGGAAUGCUUUACACAUGCAAGUCGAACGAUGAACCUUAGCUUGCUAAGGGAAUUAGUGGCAAACGGGUGAGUAAUGUAUCGGAACGUAUCCAAUAAUGGGGGAUAACUAGUCGAAAGAUUAGCUAAUACCGCAUACGUCCUACGGGAGAAAGCUAGGGACCUUCGGGCCUGGCGUUAAUGGAGCGGCCGAUAUCUGAUUAGCUAGUUGGUGGGGUAAAGGCUCACCAAGGCGACGAUCAGUAGCUGGUCUGAGAGGACGACCAGCCACACUGGAACUGAGACACGGUCCAGACUCCUACGGGAGGCAGCAGUGGGGAAUUUUGGACAAUGGGCGGAAGCCUGAUCCAGCCAUUCCGCGUGAGUGAAGAAGGCCUUCGGGUUGUAAAGCUCUUUCGCAAGGGAAGAAAACUUAAGCUCUAACAUAGCUUGAGGUUGACGGUACCUUGAUAAGAAGCACCGGCUAACUACGUGCCAGCAGCAGCCGCGG
rnacentral:rRNA from 1 species